rnacentral:rRNA from 2 species
AACGAGUUCUGAUUAUUGAAAGGUGCUUGCAUCUUGAUUUAAUUUUGAACGAGUGGCGGACGGGUGAGUAACACGUGGGUAACCUGCCCUUAAGUGGGGGAUAACAUUUGGAAACAGAUGCUAAUACCGCAUAAAUCCAAGAACCGCAUGGUUCUUGGCUGAAAGAUGGCGUAAGCUAUCGCUUUUGGAUGGACCCGCGGCGUAUUAGCUAGUUGGUGAGGUAACGGCUCACCAAGGCAAUGAUACGUAGCCGAACUGAGAGGUUGAUCGGCCACAUUGGGACUGAGACACGGCCCAAACUCCUACGGGAGGCAGCAGUAGGGAAUCUUCCACAAUGGACGCAAGUCUGAUGGAGCAACGCCGCGUGAGUGAAGAAGGCUUUCGGGUCGUAAAACUCUGUUGUUGGAGAAGAAUGGUCGGCAGAGUAACUGUUGUCGGCGUGACGGUAUCCAACCAGAAAGCCACGGCUAACUACGUGCCAGCAGCCGCGGUAAUACGUAGGUGGCAAGCGUUAUCCGGAUUUAUUGGGCGUAAAGCGAGCGCAGGCGGUUUUUUAAGUCUGAUGUGAAAGCCCUCGGCUUAACCGAGGAAGUGCAUCGGAAACUGGGAAACUUGAGUGCAGAAGAGGACAGUGGAACUCCAUGUGUAGCGGUGRAAUGCGUAGAUAUAUGGAAGAACACCAGUGGCGAAGGCGGCUGUCUGGUCUGUAACUGACGCU